CUCUAUCUCUCUCUCUCUUUUCAAUGUCUCUCUCUCUCCGCCUCUCCCUCUCUGCUGCUCCUCUCCCCUUCCUUUCUCACCGCCGCUCUACCAACCGCGCCUCCGCCACUCCCCCUAGUGGUCGCGGGCAACCAGAGCACCAAUUCACCUAGUUUGCCCUAUUUUCUCUCUCUAAAAUCUCUCUAUAUUCGUAUAUCUGUCUAUCCAUCAACGGCGAGACCGACGAUGUGCUAGAGAUUGCGACGACGAUGAAUCAAAAGAAGGUGAGGAAACUAAAUGGAACGCUUCUCAAUAUGAAGCUCUCCUCAAAGGAGGUGAACAAGUCACCUCUGUUCUUGAAGAGAUUGUCGAGCUUUAAACCUUGAAAAUGGAGGGGACCGUGUUUAGCCCUGCUUUGGAGGGAAUGAAGAAUGUCAAGUCUGACAGAGGAGAACUGCUGAUAGAGCCUUUCUUGGAUGUCUGCAAACACAUUGCCUAUUCUAGACAAAUUUGGAGCUGUAAUAACGGUUGUGAAAUCUGAUAUUGGUGAUUACUUUUGCGUGGGCUAUUGUAGAUGUGUACGAAGAGCAUUUGUUCUGUAUAUGGAAAACAUUUAUUUUGGAACAAUCAUCUGUUUUGAAAAUCCAGUGUUUUUGUAUGUAAUAUUUAAUUUAGAUAGAUUAUACUUAGUUUGUGUGGAUUUAUAUGAUAUUUGGAAUAUGAUGUUACAAGUUAAAGUUUUUUAAUAGUUGAUAAUGAA